ensembl:misc_RNA Metazoa_SRP Metazoan signal recognition particle RNA
GCCAGGUGGGGUGGCUCACACCUGUAAUCCCAGCACUUUGGGAGGCUGAGGUGGGUGGAUCACCUGAGGUCAGGAGUUCAAGACCAGCCUGGCCAACAUGGUGAAAACCUAUCUCUA